rnacentral:rRNA from 1 species
AUUGAACGCUGGCGGUAGGCUUAACACAUGCAAGUCGUGCGAGAAAGUAUCUUCGGAUAUGAGUAGAGCGGCGGACGGGUGAGUAACGCGUAGGAAUCUACCUAGUAGAAGGGGAUAGCCCGGGGAAACUCGGAUUAAUACCGUAUACCUCCUUCGGGAGAAAGAAGGCCUCUCUUUGAAGCUUUCGCUAUUAGAUGAGCCUGCGUAAGAUUAGCUUGUUGGUGAGGUAAAGGCUCACCAAGGCGACGAUCUUUAGCGGGUCUGAGAGGACGAUCCGCCACAUUGGGACUGAGACACGGCCCAGACUCCUACGGGAGGCAGCAGUGGGGAAUUUUCCGCAAUGGGCGAAGGCCUGACGGAGCAACGCCGCGUGAGGGAUGAAGGCCUCUGGGCUGUAAACCUCUUUUAUCAAGGAAGAAGAUCUGACGGUACUUGAUGAAUAAGCCACGGCUAAUUCCGUG